rnacentral:rRNA from 1 species
UACGAAGGGGGGCUAGCGUUGUUCGGAAUUACUGGGCGUAAAGCGUGCGCAGGCGGUCUGUUAAGACCGAUGUGAAAUCCCCGGGCUUAACCUGGGAAUUGCAUUUGUGACUGCACGGCUAGAGUGUGUCAGAGGGGGGUAGAAUUCCACGUGUAGCAGUGAAAUGCGUAGAUAUGUGGAGGAAUACCGAUGGCGAAGGCAGCCCCCCUGGGAUAACACUGACGCUCAUGCACGAAAGCGUGGGGGAGCAAACAGG